AUCCCCCAGAGUCCUUAUCCCUCAGACCUAAAUAUUGGUCUAAGUGGCUACAAAAAAGUAGGAAAACUCAAACUAAAAUAGACUUGGAAUCUUUAGUGACAUACAAGUGCACUUCAAACAUAC
rnacentral:snoRNA from 1 species